rnacentral:ncRNA from 1 species
GCGCCUCCUAAAUUUUAUUUGGGCAUCAUGGUUGGAAACACCAUCGAUGAAUGUGGUCUAAUUCAGGGAAACCUAAACCCUCGUAUUCUGGCGAUUUUUUUAACAUCACCAAAUACAAGAAAAUGGCAAUCCUGAGCCAAGCUCUAUUUUCCUCUAAAUAGAGAAGGUGCAGAGACUAAUUGCAGAACAGAGGAUUUUUUAUAACCAAAAUAUUCUGCAAUAUAACGGCCACCACCUAAAGAACUACUUUUGCUUUUUUUUACUAAAAGUAUUUCCAUGGUGAAGAGAUAGUCCAGAGAGUCGGGGAAACCCACAC